rnacentral:rRNA from 1 species
AUGGCGGUGGCGGCGAGGAGCACUGCAGGGGAGAGGAGAGAGGUAAGGGAGAGGCAGGGAUAUGAAGAGGAGGGCGGCGGAGCUGUCCUGAGGCUCGGCAGCGGCGGAGAUGACCGGCUGGGCUGCCACUCGGGUUGGCGUGGCAGCGAGGCAAAGGAGCUCGUGCCCCUUGGCGACGGGAGGCUCGGGCACGGCGUCGCUGCACCGACGGGAUGCAGGCGUGGCUCGCAGAUCGAGGAGGGCCAAGGGGAGCUCCUCGCUCGGGCGUCGGGUGAGCACGGGGAUGGAGGUGAGGGGGCCGGCCUGGAGCUUUGCCAGAGACGUCCGGGCACAGCUGCGCUGGAUCUGCUGCUGCUUGCGGCACGGGGACGAGGACGAGGGAGCUCGUGCUCCUGCCGGGCUCCGGCGAGGCUGGCUUGUGGUCGCUGCGGGACAGCUGGAUCCAGGGCCUCGGUGGGAUUGCUUGGCUGGAAAUGA